rnacentral:rRNA from 1 species
UACGUAGGCAGCAAGCGUUGUUCAGAAUUACUGGGCGUAAAGAGUGUGUAGGCGGUGUUCCCAGUCUGUUGUGAAAUCUCCCGGCUUAACUGGGAGGGUGCAGCGGAAACUAGAAUGCUAGAGGGUGGGAGAGGUAAGCGGAAUUCCUGGUGUAGCGGUGAAAUGCGUAGAUAUCAGGAGGAACACCUGUGGUGUAGACAGCUUACUGGACCACUUCUGACGCUGAGACACGAAAGCGUGGGUAGCAAACAGG